AAGACUUUAAGUUAAAUUAAACUAAAAACCUUCAAAGUUUUAAAUAGACAAAAUUCUAAGUCUUG
rnacentral:tRNA from 1 species